CGCAUACAACAAAUAAAGAAAAACAAACAAACAAAAAGUUUAGCAAGCUUUUCCUACAUCUUCCACUAAGUUCAGUAAAUAAUUCAGAGAAAAUAAGUUCAAAGAAUAUCCUAAUUCUUCACUGAAUUCUUCUGACAGUCUGUUAACAAACAGAGAUAUCUGGGUGGUUGAAAUCAGGAUGAAAGCCUGCAAGAGCGAUCCCUCUUUGUUGCUGAAGAAGAAGGCUUUGUCCACAGACUCCCCUGCUCCGCCUGAUGAAGUAGCCUGUAGAAGACCCCAACCAGUGGACAUAAUUUGUUGAAGCAAGCAGGGAGAAGGAGAGUGGGAGACAUGGUGAGAAAGCAAAAGAUGAGUAAAGCUUCCCCCUUUACCAGCUAUAAUUCAUUGGAAGAGCUUGACUGUCCGACUGUGUUAUCCUGUAACUCACAUACUAUGGCACUUGCAAGAACCUUCUUGGUGUUCAUUCAGCUGUGAAACAAAACAGUUCAAGGAGCAGAGCUGCAUGAUAUCUAUCUGGGAGCAACAUAGAGGAUAAUUUCAGGAGAACUGAGUUAGACUGACUUGAUGUGCCCUGGCUAAUUUUAAUCUACUCUUGGAUCAUCUACUAGAGCAAAGCAAAAUGCAUAUUCUAGCACAGAGAUAGCAUCUCCUCCCCCAAAAUCUACUCCUAGUACCUUUAGUAAAUCCCUGUGAAGUAAUUGAACAUCUCAGCUCGGAUAUUCAUUUGUCCUCAAGGUACAUCUUGUUAAAAUCUUGCAUCCUGUGUAUAAUUUCCAGUCCUUUGGGAACAUUAACAUUGACUUCAAAUUUUGGGGGGAAAAAAAAAUUAAAAAAAAAAUCCCUAGGUGGCAAUAACACGGUGAUACAGUUCAGGUACAAAACCAAACCACUACAGUACUGAAUGCUGAAUGCAAGAUUUUGAGUUACUGCUAUAGUUGAAAGCAAUUUCUAAUCAGUAUGGAGUCCAAGUACUGCAGGAUAUGAAAGUAUAUGAUUUAGUAUCUUCUUUGUUGAUUCAGCUAAAUAUAAAACAGAUUGAACUGUAGCAUGCAGUUGUAAGCUGGUUACCUAACUUAAGAAAAUGUUAUCAAUCUACCACAGGUAUUUGAACAUCAUCAAAAAUAAAAUAUGAACUUUAUUAGGAGUCCUAUUUGGGCAUUGACAUAUUUAUUGAAAAGUGAUUCAAAUUUCCAUGCAAUUCAGUGAAUAUGUCUAAAAAAUAUCAAAAAGAAUUCUUUAUAUGUGUUUGUGAAUUACUGUAUUAGCCUCCACAACAGCAAAAUUGUUUAUGAGCUCCUUUCACUAAAUAUGAUAUUGUUUAGGAAUUUGGGAGUAAUAAUAAAAUUGUCCUUGUAAAAUAUGUAUCUCAUUCAUACUGAGAAAUAUUUUCCUGUAAUAUAAUUGUUUACAUUGGAGACUUACCUUUAAGACUGUCAAGUCCAACCAUGCACCUGACAUUACAAGUUCACCUGUAAACCACGUCCUGAAGUAGCACUUCCACAUAUCUGUUAAAUAAAGUCAGGGAUGAAGACUUCACCACCUUCCUGGCCAGCAUAUUCCAAUGUAUAAUCACCCCUGCCAUUGAGAAAUUCUUCCUGAUAUCUAAUCUAAAACUUUCCUGUUACAUCUUGAGACUUGCCUCACAUCCUAUCACUUGUCAUCUGAAAAAAGAGACCAACACGCUCCUUGCUACAACCUCUUUUCAGCCUCCUCUUCUCCAGACUAAAAACCCCAGUUCCCACAGCCACUCAUAUGUCUAGUUUUCUAGAUCCUUCACCAGCAUUGCUGGUCUUCUCUGAACACAUUCUACCAACUCAGUUAUAACUCAAUAUCUUAGUGAGGGUCCCAAAACUGAACACAAUUCUCAAGGUGUUCUCAACAGUGCUAGACACAGAGGGAUAAUCAUUUCUCUAGUCCUGCUGGCCAUACUCUUUCUGAGGCAGUUUAGGAUGCUGUCAAACUUCUUGAUGACUUGGGCACAUUGCUAGCACAGAAGGCAGUUGACCAGCACUCGCAGGUCCUUUUCUUGUAGACAGCUUUCCAGUCACCCUUCUCCAGGCUUAUACUACUGGAUGGCGUUGCUAUAACACAAGUGCGUAACCAAGCAUUUAGCCUUGUUGAAUGCCAGACAAUUGGACACAGACGAUUGGUCCAGGCUAUCCAGAUCCCUCUGCAGAGCCUUUCUACCCUCAAAUAUAUCAACAGUCUCAGCCAACUUUUCAAACUUACUGAGACUGUACUCAUCAGUAUCACUGAUAAUUACAUUAAACAAAAAUGGCCCCAGUACAGACCUCUGGGGGACGUCAUUUGUGACUAGCUGCCAACCAGAUUUAACUCCAUGCACGAAGACACUUUGAACCUGGGUAUCCAACCAAUGCUUAACCCAGUGAUGAUUAUGUUCAUCUAAAACAAGAGUAACCAGUUUCUCCAGGAGAAUCAUAGAAUGUCUAGAUUGGAGGGUCCUUAAAAACUACCUAGUUAUAACCCCCCCUUCUGUGAACAGGGUUUCCAGAUACAAAAUCAGGCAGUAGAUCAACUUGAACAAGGCAGCCAACCUGGUCUUGAAUGCUUCAACGCUCCCAAGUUCAGAAAUAAAAUUAAUUUGCAGUGAGGUUCAAAAUAAAGGCAUCAAAAUUCUGAAAAAAAAAACCCAAACAAACAAUAAGUCUGAUUAUUGUUGGUGAUUAAAGCAAAUAAUUAUGAACAAUAGAAACAAAGGUUCCUUUCCCAAGGAAUGUCAUUUUGUUGUUGCAAUGUUUUCAUCAUCAAAAACCCCUCAAAAUAUUUACGUAUUCCCCAUGGUAUGACCUGGAUCACAGAGUCACAAGUUCUAAUUGAGACCUCUGACACUGGGAAUGACUGAAAAGAGCCUUCUUCCUGGCUCUUUGUACUCUUCCUUCUGAUAUUUAUAGACAGUAAUGAAAUCACUCCUGAGCUGAAAUCUUCUCCAGGCUGUAAAGUCUCAGCUCUCUCAGCCUCUUAUCAUGUAACAGUUGCUUCAGUCUCUUUGCCUUUGUGGCCCUUUGUUGGAUUCUCUUCAGUAGUUCCUUGUCUCUCUUGUACUGGAGAGCCCAGAAGUGGACACAGCACUCCAGGUGUGGCCUCAUCAGUGCUGAAUAGAGAGGAUAAUCUCCCUCAACUUACUAGCUAUACUUUGAAAGGUUAGUUAUUUUCCUCCUAAAAUGAGUUUCAUUAGCUUUUCUUCUGGUUCAUUCAGUCUUCAAUUUAUGACUACAGAUUCUUCCAGAAGAAGGAGGUAUUGUAUUGGGUACCCAAACUACUAUGCCUCAAACUAUUUCAGUUCUUUCUUUUCACUGAACUAUGAAAAACUAUCCCAACAAGCUGCAAAUGCCAGAUGAAAACGGAUUUUUUUCUCAUGUCAUACUGCUGACCUAACUAGAAAGAGAAGAUGCAAAAACACUACAAACCAUUUCUAAAAACUGAAACACAAAAGAUCAAGUUCAUCUGCAGCUUGUUUUCUUAGAGACUUAUGUUUGCUUCUAGUUGAUUUGGGGAAUUUACAUUUUUCCUGAUACUUCUGUGAACUGAGAAUUUGUGCUGGUUUACUCAGCUUAUUUCCACACAAACACUGUUACUAUGUUACACAUCUUCUUUAUUUGUAUGUGCAGUGUGGGAGCCUUUUAAUUAAAAUGCUGCCUACCCAAGCAAUUUAAAAUAUGUUUUCCUUAAAGAAAUUGAAGAAAACAUAUUAUUUUAUAGACAAAAUUACAUAAAUUAUGAUGUUUUAUAAUAUUAGCAGGCCAUGUAGUAACUGGCCUGUUUUGCAUUAUUCACAAGAUGAGCACAGGUGAAAGUAAGAAUUUGAGGAUAGCUGAAGACUUUAUUUUCAUGUAGCAUUAGCAUGUAAAAACAUCUGGGUUUCAGAAGUAUAAUCUAAUUAACUCUAAAAUAUUCAUGGUGUUCAGCAGAUCUAAACUAUUCUUAUUUACUACCCAUGAUACGAUGGUCUAAUACCAUUGUUUUGGACUGCAGAAUCAACUGUAAUUGCAAAAAGCAUCAAAACCAUUUAAAGCUCUCUUCUGCUUUUCAAUUUAAACUCUUGUUUAAAUUUAAUCUUUUUAUUUAAAUUUACUUUAAUUAAUUAAACUUAAUUUUAAUGUGCAGAGUAUGUCAAGUAGUUUUUAUCAAUAAACAGUUUUUGUUUCUGGAUUUAUAUAUGCCACUUUAAUAUAUGGCAAGACAAUAUAGAGAAAAACUUAAAAUGUAAAAGAAGAAGGAAAGCAUUAAUAUAAUAUGCACACUAAAAUAGCACUUUGACAAUCAGGUUUCUUACUUUAGAAAACAGCACUUCCAGAAAACAAUUCUCACACAACCUGAGGACUGUUAAAGUAUAUGAUUACAAUGACAGUUAAUUUAUUAAACAUUCAUCAAAGUGUUCAGUUUAGAACCUAUUAUUUACUCAGUGGCUCAGAAAUCCACUGUCAGAGCAUACAGCCACAUCUCAAAAAUAAGAACCACAUUUUAGAACCAACAGCAAGGUACUCAGUAAUGUGGUACUACGAGCUGCACUGAUGCUAAGAAAGGGAUACAUGCUCAUCUUCUGGGAAGGUUUAAUUUUAAAUUCCCUAAUCUUUCUGUUUUGUUUCAUUUGUGGGUUUCAUUGUUUUCUUUUCUUGUUUGUUUGUUUUUCCUAUGAGUGUCUAUCUGAAUGAUGUCCUGUCUCCUCCUUUGAGCUGUGAGGAAUAAAAGUAAUAUUUUCCUCAAGAAACAAGAAUCUGCAUCCAUGUAUACAAAGCACGUGCAAAUAAGUUAACAGUAGGUUGAGGAGUUGCCACAUAGCCUUGUUCAGUUCUGUAUGGCAGAUGCAGUUGGGGAUAGUGGCUAAAGACGUCAGUGAGAUAAAGGGAUAGAUUUAGGUAUGACAAUGAAAAGAAUAUGAAAUAAAUCGCUAAAAUUAAGUUAUUUUCACCUUUGUUUUUAAUUAUUAUUAUCGUAAAUCAAAAUUUACUGUAAGAGGCUUAAUAGUGUAGAUAUAGUAAAAGAAAAUAGUUAUGCAAGCUGAAAAAUUAGGGUUUUUAAAUUCUAAUGCAAGGAUAGAACUUAAAGGAGAAAAGAGAAUAAGGAUCUAAUACAAAAUAUCUUUCUCUCUAGGCAAAAUUAGUUUUUAUUUGCCUCUGAGUUAAAAUGCGCAUGCGUCUAACAAGACCAUUAUCGCUAUCCAGCCAUUUGUUAAAGCACACCAACAUACCAAUUUCAAAAUAAAUAUGAAGAUAACAGUUUUCUCCCAAAGCUAUCAGGAUAUAUCCUUAUGAUAUCAGAUUCCAAACAUGAAACUUAAAAAAGAAUUGUUGUCUGUCUAGGUCAAAACUUUUCAGGAUCUUGAACCACAGUAAGUCAUAAGGGUUGUUUACUGUCACACAUGCAUUUCCAUUUCAAUAGAAUACUAUAAAAUCACUGCCAUGGAGAAAACACCAGGUCAGUUUGUCCCUGUUUUGUUGAUGUCAGAUCUUAAAGACAUCUUUUAACUAUGAUGUUUUCAUUUCUCAAGCUUAAAUUGUCUGAUGUUCCAAUUUAUUGCUUUUUUCUUAACUGCUUAUUUAAAUAACUUUCUGCAUUACCCAGAGAUAUUCGUAUUUUUCCAAACGGGACACAUAGGGGAACUUGCUUUAUCUUGCUGUAAAUAUUUGUUUCCCUUUAAACAUGUAGCAAAGUUCAUCAGCAUUACUGCAGUAAUGUCGAAGUCUAAACCUCUGACAAGGAUUUUUAGAUUCAGGAAGGCUUUGAAAUUAUGAUACUAGCAAAGUAUGGAUUCUUUGGGGUUAGAAAAGGGGAGAAGACAAAAUCAAGAAAGAAGAGUGAAGACAGUGUUAGUCAGUGAAAGAUAUGAAAACCAAAGUGAAAAAUUUUGACAAGUGAAAAAAAAAAAAAAAAAAAAAAAAAACAACUCCUGAGAGUAACAGUGAGAAUAAACAAACGUUUUUUCUAUUUCAUUCUGAGCACUGCUCAAGGGGAGUGCUUUGAUGCAGAAAUGAUGUGUAGAUACCUAGAGCUACUUUGUCUUUACAGGUGCUGUAAACAGAGUGAGUGAGCAUCUUUUCAACCUAGAAUAUUAAACUGAAUACUAUGGUUUUUUUUGUCCAGUUUUAUCUAACCACUAUGGUUCUUUGUUAUGGUUACUAAUUUUUUUGAGUGUUGUCUUUAUAUAUUCACAGAUCUUGAGAAUAUUUCCUUUUACUUUUCUCACCUUGAGAACAGGACCAUGAAGUUGAAAAUCUAGGUUCAAAAAUGUUUAGCAUCCAAGAUGUAGUCUAACUAGUUUCUAUAACAACUACUAAUUUGAAGACAACUUCUGUAAAUCCAUAUAUGCUUGAAAAAGCAAAAACUUUUGAAAGAAGAACAUGUACUAUGUUUAACAGUAUUGUAUAGAAAUUUGUCUAUAGGGGUCUAUUAGAACAAAGUGAAACUAACUUUACUUUUUCUUUGAUACACACUACUAAGGCUGAAAAAUUAUUAUGGGGGAAAAAUUACUGGAAGAUUAAGAAACACUGUAAAUACAAGGGGACUUGUGGCUGGAAUGGUGAAGACUGAUCAUUAUCUUAUCUAAUGGGACCUCUUUGAAACUUUCAUUUAUAAAUAAGACAAAUAAAGAUGUUUCUAGGAACAAAAUGAAUCUCCUGCUCUUUCGUGGAGACAGUCUCAUGACCGUUACAUAUAAAUCUGGUACUAACCUUAUAUAACUUUUUCAUGCACAAAAUGUAUGUCAUCUCCAAAGCAAUUUAAAUUCUUAUGUUUCCAAUCUGGAAAAAUAUUUUAUGUUUUUAUUAUUCAAAAUAGUUCACAGAAUCACAGAUUCACAAAACUGUAGGAGUUGCAAGGCACGUCUGGAGAUCAUCUAGUCUAACCUCUCUGUUAAAGCAGAUUUCCCAGAAUAGGUUUCAAAGGAUAGCAUCCAGGUAAGUUUGAAUAUCUCCAGAGAAGACACCCCCUUCCCUAGAGGGGGAUCCCAGCUGCCUAACUUAUGUUCCCACUAAAUCCAGACUAUCGGCCCCAUUAUCCCAGCUGAAAUAUAUUUGCAUACCUUGCAGCUCUCCUAGGUAUGGGCAUUCUGUGAAAACUGACUCAUUUAUAAUCUCUGCCUCUUCCUCCCAUGCUUGUGGUGGCUCUGAUACUGAGUAGUGUUCCUCAUUCCCUUCUUUCCUUGCUAGAUGAGCUGACUUUCUGUUCUGCAGUUUCUUUUUGUGUACAGGGUUGAGAUAUGCUAGUACAGGUUGUUUCUCAGGUUCAGUUGCAGGGCCUGUUACAGGGGUCAGAUCAGAUCCAGAACCUUUUUUUUUUUUUUCUUUUGAGAGUGCUAAAUAGUGUUAAAUAGUGUUUGAUAUGUGCAGGACAUACUCCAGCAGAGUUCUGUUUAUGAAUUAAAGUAUCAGUUUUCUCGUUGACUUUUUUUUGCUUACUCUGGUGCUAUAACUGCCAUUUAGUUUAAAUAGUUCUUUUCAGUCCCUGAUGUUU
ensembl:lncRNA